rnacentral:lncRNA from 1 species
CUAUGUAGGUAAACACUGAAGCACCUCUGACUUUAUUCUUGGUUCUUUCAUGAUAUCGGUCAAUAACAAGUAGUGCCCAUUAACAGAUUAGAUGGGUGUCCAUGGGUCUAAGACAUCAUUUAACAUUGGCACUCUAUGUUUAAUGAACGGCAUAAAUUAGAAUGGGGAUGACAUGGUUUGAUCAAUAUGGCAAUCAGGGUUAAAGCCAAUAGUCUACAGGAGCAGUGAGCUCUGGGAGGACCUUGACUCUGAUGAUGGCUGUCCUGUCCUAAACACAGACUGUAGCUCAGAGUCUCUGUUUGUGUUCGGCCCCGGAUCUGCUUUCAUACAGAGGCAGCCCAGGUGUGCACUAGGACUGGGACACCUGGUUGCAUUGCUAAUUAGUCUGGCCGUGUGCCCGCCUGCAUACCUCAACCUUACGGUCAUCGAAGCCUGAUUGGCACUGGCAGACCUACUGUGGUUGGCUUCAUAGUGAAGUAUCACUUAUUCCAUAUUGGGGUUGUCCCGGGUCCACUUGCAGCUUUCACCCAUGGCUAGCUGCACUCCACUCCUUCUCUCAAACUUUACGAGUGCCACGUUGCUCUUAUCGCACAGCCUUGUCUAUUGUCAAAACUAGGGUUUUACUGUAUAUAUCCAAUCCUCCUAGUGCAGUUGCCCCAAGCCAUUGCUCAAUUUAUAUGUAGUUGAAUUGAAGGUAGCUUAGUAAGGUCAACACUCCAAUUUCCCCGCUGUGGAUCAAACAAGCUUAUUCAAUUCAACUCUCCUUCUUUUCUUCAGAAAAAAUGAAGCAGCGUCUGUCAAGGGAGCUGUCGGACUGCGUAGUUUACUGCAAGAGUGUCCACUUCAGCAGCUUCAAGCACUCCUGCAUUCACUCCAAGUUCUACGAGAUAUACUCCUUCACAGAGUCCAAAGCCCGCAAACACUUGAGAGAGGGGAAGAGUUUGUGCAUCACAAUGCCAGGCAGCUGACCAGGGUUUAUCCCAGUGGCUUCAGAACAGACUCCUCCAACUUAAACCCACAGGUGAUGUGGAACACAGGGACUCAAAUAGGUAGGUGAGGGCCAUUUUAGAUUGUUCUAAGGCACGACACAAUGAUUAAACAAAAUAUAAAUGUCCAAUUUCCCAA